rnacentral:rRNA from 1 species
GACGAACCGUGCGAACGUUGUUCGGAAUCACUGGGCUUAAAGGGCGCGUAGGCGGGCGAUCAAGUCCGGGGUGAAAUCUUUCGGCUUAACCGGAAAAGUGCCUUGGAGACUGGUCGUCUAGAGGGAGGUAGGGGCAUGUGGAACUUCCGGUGGAGCGGUGAAAUGCGUUGAUAUCAGCAGGAACGCCGGUGGCGAAAGCGACCUGCUGGACCUCUUCUGACGCUGAGGCGCGAAAGCUAGGGGAGCAAACGGGG